rnacentral:rRNA from 1 species
GCAUAUCAAUAAGCGGAGGAAAAGAAACCAACCGGGAUUGCCUCAGUAACGGCGAGUGAAGCGGCAAGAGCUCAAAUUUGAAAGCUGGCUCCUUCGGGGUCCGCAUUGUAAUUUGCAGAGGAUGCUUCGGGUGCAGCCCCCGUCUAAGUGCCCUGGAACGGGCCGUCAUAGAGGGUGAGAAUCCCGUAUGGGGCGGGGUGUCUGCGUCCGUGUGAAGCUCCUUCGACGAGUCGAGUUGUUUGGGAAUGCAGCUCUAAAUGGGUGGUAAAUUUCAUCUAAAGCUAAAUACUGGCCGGAGACCGAUAGCGCACAAGUAGAGUGAUCGAAAGAUGAAAAGCACUUUGAAAAGAGAGUUAAACAGCACGUGAAAUUGUUGAAAGGGAAGCGCUUGCAACCAGACUCGCUCGCGGGGUUCAGCCGGGCUUCGGCCCGGUGUACUUCCCCGCGGGCGGGCCAGCGUCGGUUUGGGCGGCCGGUCAAAGGCCUCCGGAAUGUAGCGCCCUUCGGGGCGCCUUAUAGCCGGGGGUGCAAUGCGGCCAGCCUGGACCGAGGAACGCGCUUCGGCACGGACGCUGGCAUAAUGGUUGUAAACGACCCGUCUUGAAACACGGACCAAGGAGUCUAACAUCUACGCGAGUGUUCGGGUGUCAAACCCGUACGCGCAGUGAAAGCGAACGGAGGUGGGAGCCCCCUCGCGGGGCGCACCAUCGACCGAUCCUGAUGUCUUCGGAUGGAUUUGAGUACGAGCGUAGCUGUGGGGACCCGAAAGAUGGUGAACUAUGCCUGAAUAGGGCGAAGCCAGAGGAAACUCUGGUGGAGGCUCGCAGCGGUUCUGACGUGCAAAUCGAUCGUCAAAUUUGGGUAUAGGGGCGAAAGACUAAUCGAACCAUCUGGUAGCUGGUUCCUGCCGAA